rnacentral:lncRNA from 1 species
AGCGGCCACGGCUCGCGAGCCGCCUCCGCCCAACUUUCUCCCUCGGCUUUCCUAGUUUAUUUUCUUUCAGGCGCCCUAAUGGGCGGUUUUGACUUCUUGGUGGCACUGCGUAAUAAGCCAGUGUCACCCCUCUGACUCCCGUCCCCGCACGCGUGAUCUUGUUAAGGAACUAGUCCUUUUGCGCGGAGUUCGGUUGAAUGACAUUGCCUUUUUCCCUACGAAGAAUAAGUUGGCAGCACAGACUUGUGAGAGGAAGUAGAUGAAAAAAAGUCUUUGGCACUUGUUUAGCGGGAAUCUGAGAAUAAUUUUGGAAAGUAUUCUCUGGAACAAGGGGGUGGGCAGAAGCUGGCUCCUGUAAAAGGACUCCCUACAGGAAAACGGAGACCUGUAAUGUAGAACGAUCGCCUCGCCUUACGGAUGGGAAGCUGAGGACAGUCGUCGCUGUAAAACUUUGACAGGUGCCCAAUAUGAGAUGAAAAGAACAAGGGAAACGGUCCUUCCUUAGGCCGUCCUGUGAUAAGGGGCUCCAGGAAAGAAGUACCCCUUUGGAACUGGCUCGUAAGUUGUGUGAGACAGUGAUGGAGAAGACUUUUUGUAUGAGAAACAUGAACGUUUUCGUUGUCUAAAAGGUAAUGUAGACAGAAUUCUAUAAAAAAAAACUUUAAAAGAG